rnacentral:misc_RNA from 1 species
AACUCUCAAACCGAAUCUUAAUUGAUGUCGGGUUUGGAUUUGGACGUUGCUGGACGUGAGUUCGGCUCGUCUUGAACGCAUUAGCUGACGAUUUCGACUUCAGUUAAACCGUGUGAUAAUACAUCAACGCGGGCAGCCGUAAGGCGCUGGGUCGUCUAUCGAAGGCUUCUAAUUGUCCCUUCAAGGACUGUCCUUUGGGCAUUUCAUUUCAC